rnacentral:rRNA from 1 species
CCUACGGGCAGCAGCAGUGAGGAAUAUUGGUCAAUGGACGCAAGUCUGAACCAGCCAUGCCGCGUGCAGGAAGACGGCUCUAUGAGUUGUAAACUGCUUUUGUACGAGGGUAAACUCAGAUACGCGUAUCUGUCUGCAAGUAUCCUACGAAUAAGGAUCGGCUAACUCCGUGCCAGCAGCCGCGGUAAUACGGAGGAUUCAAGCGUUAUCCGGAUUUAUUGGGUUUAAAGGGUGCGUAGGCGGUCGGAUAAGUUCAAGGUGAAAUCGCGAGGCUCAACUUCGGACUUGCCUUUGAUACUGUGAGGCUAGAGAGUAGUUGAGGUAGGCGGAAUGUAUGGUGUAGCGGUGAAAUGCUUAGAGAUCAUACAGAACACCGAUUGCGAAGGCAGCAUACCAAGCUACGUCUGACGUUGAGGCACGAAAGCGUGGGGAGCAAACAGGAUUAGAUACCCGAGUAGUC